rnacentral:rRNA from 1 species
GAUGAACGCUAGCUACAGGCUUAACACAUGCAAGUCGAGGGACCGGCGCACGGGUGAGUAACACGUAACCAACCUGCCCUUUACUCGGGGAUAGCCUUUCGGAAGAAAAAUUAAUACCCGCUAUAAAGGAUGGGGAGGCGUUCCAUUAGGUUGUUGGUGAGGUAGCGGCUCACCAAGCCUUCGAUGGAUAGGGGUUUUGAGAGGAAGGUCCCCCAGAUUGGAACGGAGACACGGUCCAAACUCCGACGGGCGGCAGCAGUGAGUAAGAUUGGUCAAUGGGCGCUAGCCUGAACCAGCCAAGUAGCGUGAAGGAUGAAGGCUUAUGGGUCGUAAACUUCUUUUAUAGAAGAAUAUGUAUUAGAUGAAUAAGGAUCGGCUAACUCCGUGCCAGCAGCCGCGGUAAUAC